CUGGGCUUCCUCCUCAGUCUCAAGCAGGACGAUUGCAGCCGUUCAGGGAAUCACAUGCAGAUGGGCCUGGAUGAAGACACUGCUGAAAAUUUUUACCAAAUUUGCUAGAAUGUGAAACGCGUAUUAGGUCGACUGUUCACAUCUCAUAUCUGAAACUGAGGAUGAAGCUCCCUGAAACACCACCACCUCCCACCCACAUGCCGAGAGCUGCCAUGUUGUUCGUGGGAACAUUUGUAGUGAACCAGCCCAGGUGCCCUGAGACCAUGGGGCACCUGGCUUUCACGGCCAGAUUCUAAGUGAUGCAGCUGUUGGGACCCAGAGCACGUUCACGGCAGGGGCAGGACGAUGGGAGGACUGGUGCCUAGUUCAUACAACAUCUAAUUAGGAAAUUUUCUCCUAUAAGUCUCAGGUGCUGUUCCAAGUGCUCGCUGAAUCCUCAGAUAACUUCACAAGGUAGGGGACGUCUUUCCCAUUUUACAUGUGAGGAAACUGAGGCACAGACAGGUCCAGCAAGCCACCCAAGGCCUCACUGCUAGAGCUGAGUUGAGGCUUCUUCUCCCCAAACCAAGCUUCAGAGGAAUUGGGGUCUUGAGGAUUUUCCAAAGCAUCUUGAAUCUUAUUGCGCCACCUGCUGGAGAGAAAGGAAGUAAGGCGAUUGCAAACCAGCAGCACCGGGGGAACCUUCCCAGAGGAGAUCUUCAAGAGUGGGGGGCAAGAGCACGAGACAGGACGGUUCUGGCCACUCUCCAUGGAGACCCGCAGGCAUCUCUGAAGACCUGCCUUCUUGCUUCUAGGAAGACGAGUUCCACUUUGAACUCAACUACCCGUGCAGAGAGGCUGAUGUCCCUCUUUGUAUGAUCCCAUCUGACCUCGUCCCUGAAACGGACAAAUUAAAGACAUCCUUGGCUUCCAAGAUCCAUCCGACUUCCCCUUCAUUAAGAAGAGAAACCUGGGAAUGGCUUCGCGGAUGCAAACAAUUGAACCGGAAGCUCCCGGAGGAGAGUGGAAACGACCACGGAAGAGUAUCAGUGUCUCCUCACAUGCAGAAGACGGACAUUCCUUUCAGGCUCUUCCCUGUACGUCUCUCCCUCUACUCCCAUCGCCUCCUCAUCUCCUCCAUCUUUGCACUGGAUGGCGGUUCACAGGCUGGGUUAUUUAUCCAAAGAGGUUAUUGUUUGAGAAGCUAGAGUCCUUUCUUGAGAUUUGGAGCUUCUUGCCCUCACAUCCACUCCCUUCUUAAGGAGCCCCAGAGCCAGGGAUUCUGUUCCUGCCCAUGACCACCCAUUCUGAAAUUCUGUCACUGCCACUAUCAAGAAGUUUCCUCCACAUCAACUGUCAUUCUUUGCGGGUUAGUUCAGCACACACAUGCACUGAGAGUUACGCUGUGCUCAGUAGUUGGAGAGCUGUGGAGAAGGUAAAAAUAAUUCUUGUUUCGAGGAAGUGAAAAGCAGGUUGAGGGGAACUAGUGGGUAGAAAGAUGAAGAGAUUCCAAAAUUGAGUUUGUUCCCCUUUUUAAGGUAUUGUCUGUACAAGAAUAGGUCACAUGUUUGGGAAAAUUAUGACCAGAGAGAAAUG